AAAAAGUUUUCCCUUAUUUUUGAGUAAGUUUACCUAAAAGACAAUCUAUGUUUUGUUAAAAUAAGGUCCUAUGUUCAAAAGGGCUGAAAUCUCUCUAUUAAGGGUUUUUUCUUUUUUUGACUGUUGUAACUCUCUGCUUGCCUUUGACUACUUCUGUUGUCACUUUGGUUAAAUGAAUAACUAAGCAUUGUUUCCUCUUUGACCAAGUGUUUUAAAACUUUUUUUAUUUUUGAUGAACUUCUCCCCAAAAUUAGUCUUUAUUUUGACUUAAAAAGGGAAGCUUUAGGAAUUUCCAAUGAGCCCAGGGACUUCUCAAGAAUUUGUUCUCUCUUUCUAUAAAGGGGAAGAUAUUAAACCAAUUAAACUAUUUGGUAUGUUACAUAACAUGGACAGCAUUGUCAAAUAAGUGGUGAUAAACCUUCUUAGGUUAUAUUGUGUGGGUAAAUGUUAUUAAUAUGUGUUUAAGAAAAAUUAUAUAACAUUCCUAAAAUUCUGAUCUGUCCUGUUUAUCAGUGAUAAUUCUGGCUAUUAUCUCAAAGUGUUAUAUGUCACAUCUUUGUCAAUUGCCAUUUUUUAAUGCUUUGUUAUUUGCAGAGAGCUGUUGUUUUAUUCUGAUAUUUUAGCAGAUGUGUUUCAUCUUUGGAGAGAUUCAUGAAAAGGACUCUGACACUUGCUCUAGGAUACAAGUUUCUGAUAAACUUUCAGAAUAUGAAACUGAGUUAGACAAGAAAUUAAAGAACUGUAAUGGAGAAACUGAUGGUCUCAUGAAACUGCUAAUAGAAGAUGAAGAGUUGAUAUAACAGGAGUAAAUAAACUGAUAAGGAUAAUUAUAAUUUUUAUGACUUUUAGUUUGAAAUAUUGCUGAUUUUAAAAAAUGUUUUGUUUUUCCUGAUUUAAGGAAAAUUUUUCUCUUUUUUCUUAAGGAACUAUGACUUAUAGCAAUUUGUAAGCAGAACUAAGGCAUUUAUCUUUUUCCAGAAUUUAGAAACUCUUGAUGAGUGAGUAUUCUUAAUAGCAAUAUAGAUGUUUGCAUAAGUUCAGUAAGAAUCUGUUCUUAUAAAAGGCUACAAUUGGAAAUACUGGUUAUAUUACCAAGGCUUUGACUGGACUGUUAUAUUUGAGAAAAACAUACGUCAACUCAGACAUGACCAUACAGCUUUUGAGAAACAAAGGUUAACUUUAUGAAAUAAAGUCACUUGGAAAUAUUGGACUGGUACCUUGCUUACAGUGUUUCCAACACCUUACCAGAUGAGUAAAGAAGAUCUCUUCCCUAGGAGGUACAAGGAGCCUCAGGAUAUUUUGGGGAACCUCAAGAGAGGAAAGGAAUUCACCCAAAUCUGUAGGUAUUGCAGACAGGUCUGAUGACAAGUCCUUGGCUUGGCUUUCCUGGCCUCAAGAGGCCUUUAAAAUUCAAUCUUGAGAUUCCUUAUAAAAAGGUCCAGCAAAGCAGAUUUAAAAGAGCCUAUAUGACAGUUGCUAUUCUUUCUGUGGUAAAAAUGAGAGUGAUUUAGAGAGAAAAAUUAUGUUUGAAUAGAAACUAUAGUACACAUUUGUGGAUGUUGGAUUUUGGUUCUAUUAUUUGUCUUUGAUGUUUUUCUUUUCUAUCUGUAAACUGCACUGGAUCCUGAAUCCUUCUAGUUUCCUUAAAUACUUGUUACAGAUCUCCAAAUUAAUAUUUUCAUUUUUUUUCCUUCCUUUUCAUCUGGAAUCAUUGAGAACUGAGACCACUCUUUUUCCUGAAGCCUUGCACAAUGAAAUUGGAAAACUGGAAGUAAACUUAAGACAGCACCAUGAUAGUCCAUGUUUGGACAAUCUUCAUGCCUGUUGCUGCAAAAGCUUCUUAUCAAAUACCUGGUUACUUGCUUACACAAUAUAGGCUUAACUUUGGGAGACCCUUCCUAUUAUCUAGAGAUGACCAAAGAGACCUGGAGGGAACCUGAAACAAGGAACUAGGCACUAGAUGUUCCUCUGCACCAUCUUUGUUGUGGAGAUUAGGUCCUCUUAAAAUCCUGGAAGCACAAGAUGAGUCCUUACAAGAAACACCACAAGGAAUGGGAACCAUGCAAUAGAAGUACAUCACAACCUGGAUCACCAAAACCUUGUCUGGCUUUAGCUCUAGACAUUGACUCUUCUGACUGGACAAAUGAACCCCUGACCAACCACAAGUUGCUAUCUAGAAGGUGGUCUUCUGAAGAUAAGCAAUGAAUAACUCCCAGGUUCUUACCUUACUUGUUGGACUAUUAGACAGAAACUACUUGGCUACAUCAGAUUUCACCUGAGAUUCCAGGCCCUAACCUUGAUUGGUUUACAGACACUUCUACUGGGACUAAGGUCCAUUAUGGAGGGGAUACUAAACUUUGGGCUGUCUAUUUUGCUAAUAUGUGUGGUCAUCUAUGUAAUUGUAAAGUGUAGACUUAUAUGUUGUUCCAAAGCCAUUGAUCAGAGUACUGAAAUAUUAGUCAUGCAAAGCAUGUCUCGCUCUCCUCAUCUGGUACCUCAAAAUAUUUACAGUAAAAGUAAAGCAGUUUCAUUCCUCUAAGCUUGAUCUUCACCCAUUCACAGUAGGAAGCAACUAGAGCAGUCUUCACCCCCAUUCCCCAAGAUUGAGGAAUGAUCAUAAAACAGUGGGGGUUAAAACCUAGGAUGAAAGAGUUAAAGUUUUCCCGGAUUAGGAUGAAACCAUGCCUGUACCCACAAGGUUAACAGGGGAAACAAAGUAACCAAAGUUUCUGAGCUUGCCUUGCAGAACAGCAGGAGGACUUCUGAUAAGACAGUAGCUUGCUGACAGCCCUCCACCUGACUAAGCAUAAUGCAGGAGCAUUGACAAGCUAAAAAGACUGAUUGUAAGCUUCACACAUCAAAGACUAAGAUCCACCACACACAACACAUAGAACACCCCUGACUUUGCACAGGCAGCCCAUGAAGAAAUAUGAAAGACAGUUGCCCCUGUACAGAGGGCUCUUGGAACUUCAGCCCCCAUGGCCACAUGCUGCCCCUCCCUGUCUUAUUCUGCAAUAUACUUUGGAAGAAUGCUUAGAACUGCAUGUAGUUAAGCUAAUCUGCAACUGGUAGAAAGAAUUACUUGCUAGCAGAAAAUUUACGUCCUCUGCCCAGACUCUUCAUUCUUUCCCAGAUAAGGAAGGAACUGAGGUUUUCUUAGAUUCCUCAGCAAUGUUGCAUUCAACAGAUCUUCUGUGGAGAGGCACUCAACUUUCUGUUGUCAUCCAUCACCUGACAUUUCUGAGCCACACUUCCCAACCCCAUUUGCCUUAUAUAAGUCAUUUCCAAAUCAGUUCCUUUUAAAAUUUUUUUUUUUUUUUUUUUUUUUUUUUUUUUUAGGAUGAUAGGCUGCCAUCUUCCAAUUUGCUAGCUUAUCACUUAUUAAGUUCUUUCUCUACCACCGCCUGCUUGGCCUUUUAUCUAGGGUGAGCAGAUCGAGCUCUUGCUGGGUAUCAACCUCAGCUUCUUUUCAUAGCUGCCACUUCCUUGUUAAGCCCUCAGUAUAUUUCCUCUUGAUUUCCUUCUCUCCACUCCUCAACCUCUCACAGCCAUAGACUCUAACCCUCUUCUUUUGUCUUGCCUAAACCAUAACCUUUUUUUGUGUUUGACCUAAUUCUCUCGUCUUGUUGAAAGGUACAGAUGUUUCUUUCUCUAAUGACUUUGGGGGUCUUGAGCUUAUGUGGUUUCAUCUAUGUUCCAAGAAGAAGCUCUAAGCAACAACCACCAUGGGCCUAUCUGCUCUGAACUGGUCCAGACCUUCACCACAAGAAUGACAACUCUGCAGACAGAGAAUUGUACUAAAGUAACUGUCUUCAUUAACAUCCUAAAUUCUCUUCUGGGAUGGGCAAAGUAGCUAUUUGUAGUUCAUGCUAUGUAUAUAAAAGCAUCAUUUCAAACCACGCAUGUGCAAACUUAUGCCACCUCUACAUGUGAUGAUGAAACUUCCUAUUUGUAUAUUCUUUCCCUGGCCCAAAUAAAGGCACCUACAUCCAUGUGCUAGGCGAGCAAUACCUUUGUGAAAUUAUUCCCAGUGGGCUCUAUUUUCUUUGUUGCAAGUCAAAAAUAAAAUUUCUGCUUUGUGUGACAACUAUUUCUGGUAUAGUUUGAUUAACUUACCAAGAAGGGGACUCAGGUCUGGUCUGGUAACAAAUUGGUGACCCUGGUGGGACCUCUGUCCCUCUGAGGCUAUAUUCUUCCAGCUGUCUGGUUUACAGUACUGGAGGUUGAGGGG
ensembl:lncRNA